rnacentral:rRNA from 1 species
AGUGAACGCUGGCGGUAGGCCUAACACAUGCAAGUCGAACGGCAGCACAGUAAGAGCUUGCUCUUACGGGUGGCGAGUGGCGGACGGGUGAGGAAUACAUCGGAAUCUACUUUUUCGUGGGGGAUAACGUAGGGAAACUUACGCUAAUACCGCAUACGACCUACGGGUGAAAGCAGGGGAUCUUCGGACCUUGCGCGAUUGAAUGAGCCGAUGUCGGAUUGCUAGUUGGCGGGGUAAAGGCCCACCAAGGCGACGAUCCGUAGCUGGUCUGAGAGGAUGAUCAGACACACUGGAACUGAGACACGGUCCAGACUCCUACGGGAGGCAGCAGUGGGGAAUAUUGGGCAAUGGGGGAAAGCCUGAUCCAGCAAUACCGCGUGGGUGAAGAAGGCCUUCGGGUUGUAAAGCCCUUUUGUUGGGAAAGAAAAGCAGCAGGUUAAUACCCCGCUGUUCUGACGGUACCCAAAGAAUAAGCACCGGCUAACUUCGUG